rnacentral:rRNA from 1 species
AUGCCACACCUGGCCGACCACAACAACAUUCCGGCUCUCUCCUUGUACGGCAGUGAUGCCUUCUGGCAAGAAGAUCCAGUAAACGAUUCCGCAGGCCUUACACUUGGAUCAAAUGACACCAUGAUGUUUCUUUAUCCAAGAACCGAGAAAAUAAACGGCAUGAAACUGGAUACAAGAAAUUCAAGACAAAAUCAUGAACUUCAGAUGAUGUUGAAUGAUUUUGCGAAUGUUAUUUAUCCUAUUUUCGAGAAACAAAACGUCACCAUGUACAGUAUUAUUGAAGAUCCUCACUCAAUCCAUCGGACACGCCAAACCUCUUCCAAGAUGAUGCUUACUGGUGAGCACUAUGAUGAGCCUGUAUGCAGCGUGUCUCCGAGGGUGAAUUUGGGAGCGGGCGGUGUGCCAUACGCACACUCUGGUGCGUCUAUGAUUGUGCUCGUCGAGGAUGAACCAUAUACAAUCAGCUGGACAUUUGUAAAGCCACUAAGUAGGAAUCUUUGGUUUGCAACCAUUAUCUUCUUCUUCUAUACUGGCAUUGUUGUGUGGAUGAUUGAACUACCCAGAAAUCCAGAGUACCAAGGAUCAAGUUUGAGACAAUGUAGCACUGCCCUCUACUUUGUUUUCUCUACCUUGACGUUUUCUCAUGGUCAAAUUAUUAGAAGCCCCUUGUCAAAAAUUGUCGUGGUAAUAUGGUGCUUUGUAGUGCUGAUUCUGGUACAGAGCUACACAUCAAGCUUGUCAUCCAUAUUAACCACGGAGAGACUCCGUCCUUGGGUGAUAGAUCUAGACCAGCUCCAACGCAGUGGUGACUUUGUAGGAUACCAAGAUGAUUCAUGUGUGCGGUCCUUCUUGAUGAAUUGUCAAAAUAUCAGUGAAAGUAGGUUAAAAACCUACACAAUGAAGGAAGAAUAUGCUGCUGCUUUGAGGAAGGGGUCCAAGAAUGGAGGGGUGUCGGCUAUCGUCGGUGCGAUCCCCUAUUUAACAUCUUUCCUCUCUGAUAAUCGGUACAAAGAUGAUUUUAUGAUGCUUGGUUGCACAUACACGACUCCUGGAUUUGGUUUUACAUUUCGUCUAGGUUUUCCACUAGUGCAAAAUCAUUCAACUACCAUCAUGAACCUACCAGAAGGGGUUAGCGACUCACAACUAAAAGUGAGAUGUUUUGGCACCACUUCAGUGUUGAUGGGUGAUGACACAGUUCCUGACUUUGGUUCUGCACCUCUCACUUUACAAAACUUCUCGGGGCUCUUCGUCAUCACUGGAUCCAUUUCAACUAUCAUGAUACUGAUAGCCAUUGUGAGGUUGGUUUAUGCCAAAUGCACCGGGUCGAGAAACACCGACAUGGAAAGCGCCAGGGAUAAUAGUGUCGAAGACGAUCCCCAUUCGAUGCAGAACGGCUUGGAUGACAACCCUAGCCCUAGCCAACAACUCCUCCACGAAGCCGAAGAUGAUAAUUCCCAGGGUGUGCGUAAGAGCGGCCAAAAUGAUGGGGGUGCUCAGCCUGACCCAGUGCAGCAGAAUGUCAUGCACGAUGGUAUCACCCCUGCAGGACACUUCCAGAUUGAAACUAACAAUGUCUGA